rnacentral:tRNA from 1 species
GGAGGGUACAGCUCAGUGGUAGAGCGCGUGCUUAGCAUGCAUGAGGUCCUGGGUUCAAUCCCCAGUACCUCCA